AGCAGCCGCGGUAAUUCCAGCUCCAAUAGCGUAUAUUAAAGUUGUUGCAGUUAAAAAGCUCGUAGUUGAAUUUCGGGGUCAGUAGGCUGGUCGUGCCACCGGUACGUACUGGUCUCACUGAUUCCUCCUUCCUGAAGAACCGUAAUGCCAUUAAUUUGGUGUUGCGGGGAAACAGGACUGUUACUUUGAAAAAAUUAGAGUGUUUAAAGCAGGCUAACGCUUGAAUACAUUAGCAUGGAAUAAUGAAGUAGGACGUCCGAUCCUAUUUUGUUGGUUUCUAGGAUUGACGUAAUGAUUAAUAGGGAUAGUUGGGGGCAUUAGUAUUCAAUUGUCAGAGGUGAAAUUCUUGGACUUAUUGAAGACUAACUACUGCGAAAGCAUUUGCCAAGGAUGUUUUCAUUAAUCAAGAACGAAAGUUAGGGGAUUGAAGACGAUCAGAUACCGUCGUAGUCUUAACCAUAAACUAUGCCGACUAGGGAUCGGAUGAUGUUAAUUUU
rnacentral:rRNA from 1 species